GCUACGGUGGCCGAGUGGUUAAGGCGUUGGACUUAAGAUCCAAUGGGACGCAUGUCCUUCGCAGGUUCGAAUCCUGUCUGUAGCG